UCUCCGUAGGUGAACCUGCGGAGGGAUCAUUACCGAGUUCAUAACCCACAGGGUUCUGUCCCCAUCCUAUUUUCUUAUUACUCGGUUGAUUUGGCGGGCCGUAAAGCUCCGCCGCGACCACCGGCCCCCUCUGGUAAGCUCUCUCCAGGGAACCCAAAACCCAAAACAUUAAUUUAGUAUGAGUUUUAUAUAAGAUUUUAAACUUUCAACCACCGAUCACUUGGUUUUGGCAUCGAUUGAGAACGCGUCAGAACUGAAGUCAACACGACUGAACCCUAA
rnacentral:misc_RNA from 1 species